rnacentral:rRNA from 1 species
GACCUCGGAUCAGGUAGGGAUACCCGCUGAACUUAAGCAUAUCAAUAAGCGGAGGAAAAGAAACCAACAGGGAUUGCCUCAGUAACGGCGAGUGAAGCGGCAACAGCUCAAAUUUGAAAUCUGGCUCUUUCAGGGUCCGAGUUGUAAUUUGUAGAAGAUGCUUUGGGUGUAGCUCCGGUUUAAGUUCCUUGGAACAGGACGUCAUAGAGGGUGAGAAUCCCGUAUGUGACUGGGUGCUUUCGCUCGUGUAAAGCUCUUUCGACGAGUCGAGUUGUUUGGGAAUGCAGCUCAAAAUGGGUGGUAAAUUUCAUCUAAAGCUAAAUAUUGGCCAGAGACCGAUAGCGCACAAGUAGAGUGAUCGAAAGAUGAAAAGCACUUUGGAAAGAGAGUUAAACAGUACGUGAAAUUGUUGAAAGGGAAGCGCUUGCAACCAG